GUUUUUAUAUUAAACUAGUUAAAAUUCAGACACUAAAAAGCUGUUUUUAAGGGUGUUUUUGUUUGCAAACACACAAAGAGUCCAAAGCUUACUCUGAACUCUGGGUGUUUAUGAUAAGUAUAACAGUAAUGAUCCUUCCGCAGGUUCACCUACGGAAA
rnacentral:misc_RNA from 1 species